AAGACUAUACUUUCAGGGAUCAUUUCUGUAGUUUGUACUCCUCCUUCAUUCCUUCCACUCUGAGCUAAUACUAUCCGGUGGA
ensembl:snoRNA U3 Small nucleolar RNA U3